CUUCGGCCCGUAAACCCCUGUCAUUUGCGAACAAACCUUUCCAUUUAACAGACGGAAAAUUGAUUGUAGCAGAAGAGGAAGGGACGGCUAACUCUGUGC
rnacentral:rRNA from 1 species